CGGCAAAGCAAUAUUGUAAAGAUGUCCAUUGCAAUCUGAUAUCUAUACUUGCUGCUCUCAAAAAUUCUGAAUAUGUUCAGAGAUUUCUUGGGCAAUAAUAAAUCCCCCCAAAAAACAACAACUUUGCAUUUAUGCUAAACCUGCCUGUUGUAAACGGAUUCUGUAUAUUUCUUGACAUAAGUACUUGUACUUGAAUCUGUUUAACAAAGCUGUUAAUAUUGUG
rnacentral:lncRNA from 1 species